rfam:Larimichthys crocea isolate SSNF unplaced genomic scaffold scaffold215, whole genome shotgun sequence.
AGAGUCAAAGGCUGUAAGUCGCUUUGGAUAAAAGCGUCUGCUAAAUGCAAUGUA